rnacentral:rRNA from 1 species
AUUGAACGCUGGCGGCAGGCUUAACACAUGCAAGUCGAACGAGUGGCGGACGGGUGAGUAAUGCCUGGGAAUCUGGCUUAUGGAGGGGGAUAACGACUGGAAACGGUCGCUAAUACCGCAUACUAUCAGAUGAGCCCAGGUCGGAUUAGGUAGUUGGUGGGGUAAUGGCCUACCAAGCCGACGAUCCCUAGCUGGUCUGAGAGGAUGACCAGCCACACCGGAACUGAGACACGGCCCGGACUCCUACGGGAGGCAGCAGUGGGGAAUAUUGCGCAAUGGGGGCAACCUGAUGCAGCCAUGCCGCGUGAAUGAAGAAGGCCUUCGGGUUGUAAAGUUCUUUCGGUGACGAGGCGUUAAUCACAGAAGAAGCACCGGCUAACUCCGUGCCAGCCGCCGCGGUAAUAC